CUCUGGUGGAGGUGGCGGGGAGUGAAAGUGACUCUGUGAGAAUCUUUGGCUGUAGAUUUAAGUUAAUUUUUCAACGUUGAAACCACUGACUAGAGAACAGGCCAUGACCCCAGGAGAAAGACCCUGCAACACAUUUUAACUGCACAUGAAUAAAUAAAAGUACCUGUUACAAAACAGCAGUAACAAAAGGGGGCUGAGGAAGCGACCUAUGCCACUAUUCCAGGAACAACUUUUACCUGGUGAGUACAACCCUAAAGUUAAAUGACACUCGAUUUAUUUGAAUAACAGAAACAGGCACAUCAUACACAGGCUUGCCCCUAGGAUAUUUUCUGCUUGGGAGGAAAACUUUGCAAAUACGUAAGUAAAAAAACCAAGCUUGGUCACUUUAAAAAUUGAAAAAGAAA
rnacentral:lncRNA from 1 species